rnacentral:rRNA from 1 species
CUACGGGUGGCAGCAGUGGGGAAUAUUGGACAAUGGGCGAAAGCCUGAUCCAGCCAUGCCGCGUGUGUGAAGAAGGCCUUCGGGUUGUAAAGCACUUUCAGUGGGGAAGAAAGCCUUGGGGCUAAUACCCUCGAGGAAGGACAUCACCCACAGAAGAAGCACCGGCUAACUCCGUGCCAGCAGCCGCGGUAAUACGGAGGGUGCGAGCGUUAAUCGGAAUUACUGGGCGUAAAGCGCGCGUAGGCGGUCUGAUAAGCCGGUUGUGAAAGCCCCGGGCUCAACCUGGGAACGGCAUCCGGAACUGUCAGGCUAGAGUGCAGGAGAGGAAGGUAGAAUUCCCGGUGUGGCGGUGAAAUGCGUAGAGAUCGGGAGGAAUACCAGUGGCGAAGGCGGCCUUCUGGACUGACACUGACGCUGAGGUGCGAAAGCGUGGGUAGCAAACAGGAUUAGAUACCCGAGUAGUC